rnacentral:rRNA from 1 species
AUUGAACGCUGGCGGAAUGCUUUACACAUGCAAGUCGAACGGCAGCACGGACUUCGGUCUGGUGGCGAGUGGCGAACGGGUGAGUAACAUAUCGGAACGUAUCCAAUAAUGGGGGAUAACCAAUCGAAAGGUUGGCUAAUACCGCAUACGCCCUACGGGGGAAAGCAGGGGAUCUUCGGACCUUGCGUUAAUGGAGCGGCUGAUAUCUGAUUAGCUAGUUGGUGAGGUAAAGGCUCACCAAGGCGACGAUCAGUAGCUGGUCUGAGAGGACGACCAGCCACACUGGAACUGAGACACGGUCCAGACUCCUACGGGAGGCAGCAGUGGGGAAUUUUGGACAAGGGGCGCAAGCCUGAUCCAGCCAUUCCGCGUGAGUGAAGAAGGCCUUCGGGUUGUAAAGCUCUUUCGCAAGGGAAGAAAACUUACUUUCUAAUAAAGAGUGAGGUUGACGGUACCUUGAUAAGAAGCACCGGCUAACUACGUGCCAGCAGCCGCCGUAA